GGCCGGUGAUGUGAUCAAAAUAUUUGCUACUCUUGAUGGGGUUAGAGCCCCGUCUGAUGAUCACGAACCACCAAGAUCUCUGAGGUC
rfam:Dichanthelium oligosanthes cultivar Kellogg 1175 unplaced genomic scaffold Do_version_2_scaffold4713, whole genome shotgun sequence.